CCCGUCUCUCCCGUGAGCGGGCAGUUGAGCAUGGUGUGCUUACAUUAAAGAAUGCCACGAGUCGGAUGGCUAAAGAGAUAAACGCCUGGACGUCCGUUCAUUCUCCGAAAAUCAUUGUUCCGCCGCGCAGGUAGGCCGAAUAAAUAAGCCUACCUGUCAACAGGUUAUGGGCCCAGGAACCGGGAAUGAUUCCAAAGUUUGACGGACUUGCGCGUCGAUGGCUAGCAUGACCGCGCUAGCAUACAGAAGUAUCCAAAAGAGCUAGUUUAGCAUCGGGAGAACCGGGAAGCUAAAGCUAGGCUAAAUAAACGGGAGCUAAACCGAACUACAAACAGCCAUGGCAAACCGAAGCAAGAGCCAGUGGCCCACUUUUGACGGGAGGGCAGAAGAGUAUGAGCUCUGGGAAGAGAGGAUGCUGUGCUGCAUGCACGGGGUGGGGCUGAAGCAGACGAUCCUGACGGAGCCCGCUGAACCACUGUCGGAGGAAGACAGGGCUAAGGACGAUAAGCUGAAUGCGGACGCCUACUGUGCAUUGGCGCCGCUGCUUGACAACACAAGCUUGGGGCUGAUAUUCAGAGACACAAAGGACAAGGGCCGAGAGAGUCUCAGAGUGUUAAAAGAACACUACAUAGGAAAAGGUAGGCCCCGGAUUGUUUCCCUGUACAUAACAAUGACAGCGCUGAAGAAAGCUGACAACGAGACCGUAACCAAGUACAUCAUCAGAGCUGAGCAGAUCAUUACAGCACUCAGGAGUGCAGGCGAAGCACCGAGCGAGGGACUGAUGAUGGCGAUGAUCAUGAGGGGAUUACCGGAGAAGUACAAGCCGUUCACACUGAUGGUGACGCAUGGUUCAGCUGACAUGACACUGGGAGAGUUCAAGGCAAAGCUAAGAAAUUUUGAGGCUUCAGAAGACGCAGACCCAGUCCUAGAAGAGGCAGGAGAAAGGGUGCUGAGGGCGCAAGCGGCGCCAAGGAAAAAGACUGGACCAGUGGAGAUGGUGUGUUGGCGGUGCGGAGAAAAGGGCCACAGAAGGGAUGACUGCACAGAGAAAGUUUGGUGCAGUUUUUGCAGAAGCAGGGGGCACACCGAUAAAGCGUGCACAAAGAAGGAGCGUGAGCGGGGCGCCCGGUGCGCAUGUGUACAAGAUGGCGGCGGUGGCCGUAGGCCCGGGUGUGAACCAGACGGCGACCGGGGAGCCACGGGAGGAGAAGACCGCACCUUCAGGGCACAAACAGAAGAUGCCAGUCUCUCAAGGAAAAUGCUGCAGACCCAGAGAAGGGGAAUGAUCGUGGACACGGGCGCGUCGUCCCACAUCAUCAACGAUAGAAGCAAGUUCAAAAGCUUUGACAGCACCUUCAGGCCGGAGAGACACAGUAUGGAGCUCGCAGAUGGGAAGCGUACUGUCGGUGUGGUGAAAGGCAGGGGAGACGCACAGGUAUGUCUCAUAAGCAGUGGGGGGCACCGGUGUACAGUGACAUUAAAGAACGCUCUCUACAUUCCCUCGUACCCUCAAGAACUCUUCUCAGUGAAGUCAGCUACCGCCCACGGCGCCAAAGUGUUUUUCGACGAAGGAAAAGACGUUCUAGAGUCAACGGAUGGCACAAGGUUUGAAAUCUAUGUAUGCAAGAGAAUGUACUACCUGCAAACCGAGUGUGAUCUAGAUGAUGUGUGUCACGUCAGCUAUGAUAUUCAGACAUGGCAUGAGGUAAUGGGUCACUGUAAUUACGACGAUAUCUUGAAAUUGCAGGACGUGACAGAGGGCAUGCACAUUAAAGGUCCAAAGCGCAGGCCUGAUAAAGAAUGUGCAGUAUGCAUAGAGGGGAAGUUCACGCAGACGAGAAACAGAGACCCGACUAACAGAGCAAAGACGCCGCUUGAGCUGGUGAACACAGACCUAACCGGCCCAAUUAACAAUGAGUCCAUAGAUGGUUUUAAAUACAUGCAGUCUUUCACAGACGUGUGUACGGGGGCAGUGCUGGUCUAUUUUCUGAAAGCAAAAAGCGAUGCAGUUCAGGCUACAGAGAAGUACCUGGCAGAUGUGGCGCCUUACGGCACUGUGAAGUGCAUCAGAUCAGAUAACGGGACUGAAUUUACUAACCGAGAGUUUCAGACACUACUGAGAAAGAACAAAAUCAGGCACGAGACUUCCUGUCCUUACUCUCCGCACCAGAACGGGACAGCUGAAAGGGAAGGGCGAACUCUUUUCGAGAUGGCCAGAUGUAAGCUCAUUGACAGUGGCUUACCUAAGAGCCUUUGGCACUAUGCCAUCCAGGAAGCAGCCUAUACCAGGAACCGGUGUUUCAACAAGCACACAGGCACUACCCCAUACACAGCACUGACAGGUAAAAAGUGUAAUUUGGCCGAUAUGCAUAAAUUCGGGUCAGAGUGUUGUGCCUACCAGCAAGACAGAGGAUUCUUUGUAGGGCACGACAAGGGCAGUCCCGCCUACCUAGUUUACUACCCGGGCAAAGGAAAAGUACAGAAGCACAGGCUGGUAAAGUUUGUCACCAAGACAACCUGUGAAAAUGAGACUCAGACUCAGGAGCUAGGACUGGAUCCCAAAGGGGGUUGUGAUAAGGGAGUAGAGACUUCACAGCCUAGCGUACCGAACACCGAUGUAUUGACUGAUCGUCCACAAUCCGCAUCAGAGGACGACUGCGAGAAGCAUCCUAGGGAGACGCCACACGACAGUGGGAGAUACCCUACCAGAGAGCGUAAAGCCCCGGGGUAUCUAAGAGAUUAUUCUCUGGAAGAUGCUGAUGACGACAGUACGCUAACUAGUGUAGAUUAUUGCUACCGAGCAGUUUGUGGUGUGCCUCUGACCUUUAAAGAGGCCAUGACAUCAACUGAGUCAGGAAAGUGGAAGAAAGCAAUGGACGAGGAGAUGGGGUCCCUAGAAGACAACCAAACCUUUACCCUGACUAAGCUACCAGAGGGCAGGAAGACAGUGGGAGGAAAAUGGGUAUAUUCGAUUAAGGGAGACAUUGACGGAAACGACCAGUACAAAGCUAGGUUUGUAGCGAAAGGAUACAGCCAGAGAGCAGGGAUAGAUUAUGGCGAGACAUUCUCACCGACAGCAAAUCUGACAAGUAUUCGUGUAGUGAUGCAGAAGGCAGCCCAAGACGAUUUGAUUCUGCAUCAAAUGGAUGUGAAAACCGCUUACCUACAUGCCCCCAUUGAUCGAGACAUCUACAUGGAACAACCUGAAGGUUACAAAAAGGAGGGAGAUGAGCUGGUGUGUAAACUAGAGAAGUCAAUCUACGGCCUGAAGCAGUCGGGGCGAAAUUGGAAUGAGAUGCUCCACACCUGCCUAGUAGAUGAUAACUUUAUUCAGAACCCGACAGACCACUGUGUUUACACAAAAGAGUCUACAGAGACAGGGAAGGUAAUAGUGGUCAUUUGGGUGGAUGAUCUGAUCAUCGCAGCCAGCAACACCCAGAGUUUGGAGAGGGUGAAAAACAUGCUUUCCAACAGAUUUAAGAUGAAGGACCUAGGUAGGUUGAAGUAUUUUCUGGGCAUGGACUUCAGCCAGUCUGACGGCUGGGUAAAAGUGUCACAAAGGAGAUUUGUUGAAAAACUACUGAAUCGUUUCGACAUGCAGGAGUGUAGGGUUAGAGAAACCCCAUGUGAACCAAAGCUAGAAUACUCUGAAGGUGCGCCUAAAAUCUCUGAUGUGAAGAAGUACAGGGAGGCUGUCGGCAGCCUCAUUUACCUGACAACCUGUACACGCCCAGACAUAUGUUUCGUAGUGAACAAGUUAUCACAACAUUUUGCUGACCCUACAGAUGAGCAUUGGGUCACGGUGAAACAUGUUUUGCGGUACCUCAGAGGUACUGCAGACAAACAGCUCUGUUUCACAAAAAGCCAAGGAAGCCUAGGCAUACGAGCAUAUAGCGACGCAGACUGGGCUGCGGAUGUUAGUGACAGACGCAGUACCACCGGGUAUUGUGUGAGUAUGAGUAAAGGUAGUUCCUUAGUAUCUUGGAAAACCAAGAAGCAACCCACAGUAGCACUCUCCACAUGCGAAGCCGAGUACAUGGCUCUAGCUCUGACAAUACAGGAGUGUAUUCACUUGGAGCAACUACUGGGAGGGAUGGAUUCCUAUGUGUAUGAGAAAACGGUUGUCUACGAGGAUAACCAGGGGACAAUUGCGCUUGUUAGGAACCCGGUGUGCAGACAACGGUUUAAGCAUGUGGACAUAAAAUAUCAUUUCAUCAGGUCUACCAUAAGGGAAGACAAGAUGUCCCUUGUUUACUGUCCCACCGACAACAUGGUCGCAGACGUUAUGACAAAGCCUGCCUCCAAACUUAAGUUAAAGAAAUUCGGGGAAAUCAUGUUUGGUGUAUAAAAUGUUGAUAUUUGGCUAUGCCAUGUUUUUGUUCUGUUUUUGUUUAUUUGGUCAUGUAAGUUUUGCACAGUAUACAUGUCAUUCAUAAGUGGGAGUGUUAAGAGUGUAUGAAUGCAUGUACCUGUAACUGUUUCCUGGGUCGUGAUAUCAAGAGCACCAUUCCCAUAUAAGGGCAGUGUUCCCUCCCCUUUUCUCUGUGUGUCCCCGUCUCUCCCGUGAGCGGGCAGUUGAGCAUGGUGUGCUUACAUUAAAGAAUGCCACGAG
ensembl:lncRNA